UCCUUCUUAUAUUAAAAAUAUGAGGCCUGGGUUUUUAUAAAAAUAAUAUGUGACUAGUUCAAGAAUCUUUAUUAUCUAAUUUGACGCCUUAAUACAUUAAUGUUUUUUUUGUGACGCUAGCCUAGUUUAUAACAUGAACUUGUCAACCUAUGGACGCAACUCACAGGAUACAUUAACAUUUCAUGAUCCUGAAGAAACAAAUGAAUCGAUUGGUGGUGAUACUCAGGGAACUGAUUUUGAUUUCACCGAUUUUACAUUAUCUACAUUGACCCAAAGGCAAUGUUCUCAACCAAUUACUGGGGCUGGACCAUCAGUAACAUCAUCAGGAGAUAAAGAUAACUCAGCUAGAAACCUUGUUGGUACAUCUCUACUACGACAGCCAACUAGAUCAACCAAAUGGAAAGAAAAAUCAAUUCAAAUCAAGACCUUGGGAGGUGGACAUUUCAGAUUUUUUACUUGGGUACCUGCAAAUGACGAUGAAGAUAACGAUUCUAAUUCAACACAACAAUCUCAACUUCAACUGGAUAUGAGUGAAUAUAUGACUGGUAUCAAGAAAAUACCCAAAGAGGGUAUACCAGGAGUUGAUCUAUCUGAUCCUAAACAAUUAGCUGAAUUCGCAAAAAUGAAACCCCGUAAACCUUCAUCGGAUGACGAUACUCGGACCAUUGGUUGCCCACAUAAAGGCUGUUCGAAAAUGUUUCGAGAUAAUAGUGCGAUGAGAAAACAUUUACAUACUCAUGGUCCUCGUGUUCAUGUUUGUGCUGAAUGUGGUAAAGCAUUUGUUGAAUCAAGUAAACUUAAAAGACACCAAUUGGUACACACUGGAGAAAAACCUUUUCAAUGUACAUUCGAAGGAUGUGGAAAAAGAUUUUCCCUAGAUUUUAACUUGAGAACGCACGUAAGAAUACAUACAGGAGAUCGACCUUAUGUUUGUCCUUUCGAUGAUUGUUCAAAAAAGUUUGCCCAAUCAACAAACCUUAAAUCACAUAUUUUAACACAUGCCAAGGCUAAAGCUAAUCAACAACAAAGAAUAACAACAAUGGAAAUACCAAUAUCAUCACCAGCCUCAUCAGUCUCAACGAAUAUGAUCCCAGACGUUGGAACGGAGUGUUUUGUUAUCGCAGCGCCCGAUUUACUCAAUUAGAUUAUUAAAUUUUUUUGAGUGUUUCAUAUAAUAAAAUAAUAUCAUCGUAAAUUGUCAUCUUCCUUUGCCUUGUCACAACAGCCAAUUUUCCUCCUUUUCUUUCUUUCACUUGUUCUUUUCUCAAACAAACUUCAUCAAUCUCUGUUCUUACGGAAAACUUUAAGGGCUAAUAUUUUCACCAUCAUCCAUCAAGUUUCUUCAUAUGAAAAAUACCUUUUCGCAGAAAAAGACAGAAGUAUUUAAUUCAUUUGCAUUAUUUCAAAAUAAAUAAAUGUGCGCUCACGAGUUUUGCAAAUACAGAAAA